rnacentral:rRNA from 1 species
UCCUGGCUCAGGAUGAACGCUAGCGAUAGGCUUAACACAUGCAAGUCGAGGGGCAGCGAGGUUUUCGGACCGUCGGCGACCGGCGCACGGGUGAGUAACACGUAUGCAACCUACCCUUUACACGGGGAUAACCCGGCGAAAGUCGGCCUAAUACCCGAUGCGAUAUAUAUUUCGCAUGUUAUAUAUAUCAAAGAUUUAUUGGUAAAGGAUGGGCCUGCGUUCCAUUAGCUAGUUGGUAAGGUAACGGCUUACCAAGGCAACGAUGGAUAGGGGAACUGAGAGGUUUAUCCCCCACACUGGUACUGAGACACGGACCAGACUCCUACGGGAGGCAGCAGUGAGGAAUAUUGGUCAAUGGGCGAGAGCCUGAACCAGCCAAGUCGCGUGAAGGAUGACGGUAUUAUGUAUUGUAAACUUCUUUUAUAAGGGAAUAAAAAAYGGGACGUGUCCUAUAUUGUAUGUACCUUAUGAAUAAGCAUCGGCUAACUCCGUGCCAGCAGCCGCGGUAAUACGGAGGAUGCGAGCGUUAUUCGGAUUUAUUGGGUUUAAAGGGUGCGUAGGUUGAUAAUUAAGUCAGCGGUGAAAUUUCGACGCUUAACGUCGGCACUGCCGUUGAAACUGGUUGUCUUGAGUGUGAACGAGGUAGGCGGAAUUCGUAGUGUAGCGGUGAAAUGCAUAGAUAUUACGAAGAACUCCGAUAGCGCAGGCAGCUUACCAGGCCACAACUGACACUGAGGCACGAAAGUGUGGGUAUCAAACAGGAUUAGAUACCCUGGUAGUCCACACAGUAAACUAUGAUAACUAACUGUUUGCGAUACACMGUAAGCGGUACAGCGAAAGCGUUAAGUUAUCCACCUGGGGAGUACGCCGGCAACGGUGAAACUCAAAGGAAUUGACGGGGGCCCGCACAAGCGGAGGAACAUGUGGUUUAAUUCGAUGAUACGCGAGGAACCUUACCCGGGCUCGAACGGUAGAUGAAAGAUCUGGAAACAGACUGACCGCAAGGACAUUUAUCGAGGUGCUGCAUGGUUGUCGUCAGCUCGUGCCGUGAGGUGUCGGCUUAAGUGCCAUAACGAGCGCAACCCCUAUCGUUAGUUACCAUCAGGUUAAGCUGGGGACUCUAGCGAGACUGCCACCGUAAGGUGUGAGGAAGGUGGGGAUGACGUCAAAUCAGCACGGCCCUUACGUCCGGGGCUACACACGUGUUACAAUGGGAUGGACAAAGGGUCGCUACCUGGCAACAGGAUGCUAAUCUCAAAACCAUCUCCCAGUUCGGAUUGGAGUCUGCAACCCGACUCCAUGAAGCUGGAUUCGCUAGUAAUCGCGCAUCAGCCAUGGCGCGGUGAAUACGUUCCCGGGCCUUGUACACACCGCCCGUCAAGCCAUGGAAGCUGGGGGUACCUGAAGUUCGUAACCGCAAGGAGCGACCUAGGGUAAAACUAGUAACUGGGGCUAAGUCGUAA